CAGGCGUCUAAAGCAGGACGCUACAGCAUCGCUUUACUGAUGAGUCUAAUAGUGUGGGACCGAGACGAAACGCCAA
rnacentral:hammerhead_ribozyme from 14 species